rnacentral:rRNA from 1 species
UACGAGGGGGGCGAGCGUUGUUCGGAAUUAUUGGGCGUAAAGGGUGCGUAGGCGGUUUGAUAAGUCUGAUGUGAAAUCUAUGGGCUCAACCCAUAGUCUGCAUUAGAAACUGUCGGGCUUGAGUAUGGGAGAGGUGAGUGGAAUUUCCGGUGUAGCGGUGAAAUGCGUAGAUAUCUGGAAGAACACCAAAGGCGAAGGCAGUGUCCUGGGUGGUCGCUGACGCUGAGAGGCGAAAGCCAGGGGAGCGAACGGG